rnacentral:lncRNA from 1 species
GACACUCCCUCAGCACCGGUUUCCUGGAGCUCAGCAGCUCCUUCCUGGCAGAACCUGAGGCAACCCUGCAAAGAAGAGAAACCCCCGCACCCUAUCCUUUACCCAACAAGGAAGGCAACCAUCCAGAAACAAACCAAAACAAAACCGAACAACCCAAACCAUCCAAGAUAGCCCCUCUUCUGCUUGGAUGCUCUCCCUAAGGUAUCUUAUUGUUUGAGAUAGUCUUUCUAUAUGUUGCCCAGAUUGGUCUGGACCUCCAGAUCCUUCUGCCUCAACCUCCCCAGUGCUGGGAUUACAGAUCUGUGCGCCACUAUUCCCAACUCUAAGACUCUUUUUGUGAAGCCACCAACCAGAGGUGGCUGGCAUCCUUUUCUCUCCCAGCUGAUGAGAUCCGUCCCCUUCCCUUUCCUCAAUUUCGCUCACCCUCUGUCCCUGUCUGCUGUUUCAGUUCUUCUUCUUUUCAGUUACUGGAGACACCCGCUUGUUUCAGGAGUCACUCUAGUUUGACAUGGCAUCGUGUAGCUUGGGAUGCUGAGGGCUUCUGGUUUCCAUCUUCCUCCUGCACUGCCCAGUCCACACACCUUUCUCCUAGAAAAUUUCUAGAAAAGUCCCUUCAAAUUCUGAAGUGAUAGACACAUUAAAAUGAGAGGAUGGAGUUUUGGAGAGGGAGGGGUGUAUCUCGGUGGUAGAGUGCAUACUUAACAUGCUUGAGGUCCAGCACAGAAAGAGAGAGAGAGAGACAGAGACAGAGAGAGACAGAGAGAGAAAGGAUGCAUUUGAGGCUGUCUAGCACAGUGGUUCUCAACCCGUGGCUUGCAGUCCCCACCGUGUUCACAUAUCAGAUAGAUAUCCUGCAUAUCAGAUAUUUACAUCACGAGUCAGAAUAAUAGUAAAAUUACAAUUAUGGAGUAGCAACUAAAAUAAUGUUAUGAUUGGGGUCACUGCAACAUGAGGCACUGUAUUAAAGGGUCGCAGCCUGAGGAAGGGUGAGGACCACAGGUCUAUCGCCACACUCAGUUAUCCAAAGCUAAUGUUUGUCACCUUCCCCAUGGUAAAGAGUUCUCAUCCACUUGCUGGAGAUUUCUUCAUAAGAAACUAGAGUCGAGGGAGUCAUGUGUCUGCAUGUGAACGUGUGGGUGCAUCAGGUGUCUCCCUCUACUAUUUUCCAGUUUAUUACCUUGAGACAGGGUCUCUCACAGGGCCAGAAAGCUUUUGCGUUGGCUAGGACGGUGGAGUCUGGGCUUUUGAGAUUCGCCUGCCUCUGCUUCCCAAGGCUGGCAUCGUGGGUGUGUGCGGCCACAUCCACCUCUUCACUUCGGUGCUGGGGAUUUGAACUCAGUGCCCCUGGCUUGCAGAACAAACACUCUUACUUACUGUGCCAUCUCCCGGGGCCCUCGUACUGCAUAUCUGGAGUGCAUAAAAGGAUAAGCCUGGUAUUUUAAUGCCUCUGAAGUUUCUUAUACAGUAAGAUCAGCGCCUCUGAGCCCCCUCCCUUCACCCAGACUUAUAGGACCUGACCCUGUCAUCCAAUCUCCCAGUCAAAAUUUUUCCAAAUUGGAUGUGGGCAUGAAAGGCUUAGAAAUAAGCCUCUGGGAGUUAGGGAAAUGGCUAAAUGAGUGAAGUGCUUGCCUUGCAAGCAGAAGGACCUGAGUUUGAUGAUUCCUGGGAUGCGAAUAAAGAAGCCUGAAGUGAUGGCCUUCACAUGUAAUACCAGGGUUAGGGACGCCUGUCAAGACUGCUCCAUGAGUUGUCUCAUUUCCACCCCGAAACAAUGGGGCAAAAGAGAGAAAAAAACAAAUAUAGUGGAAAAUGCCUCCAGGGUACCCCCCUGGCAUGUUCUUUUGAGUAGCUCAAUAUUUUAAAAGUGUCCUCUAUAGCCACUGGUCCAGGCAAUCCCCACGGGAGGCUGAACCAGGGGUUGGGAGUCAGAAAGGUUGGAAGGGGAAGAGAGAACCUAAAAUUAUCCCUGAGGAAAAAGGGCCAGCUGGGCUCCCAGGGACUCAGCAGCUCACUCACCCAUGAGCAGGACUGUCAGGGGCUCUCAAGCAAAGGUUUUCCCUGUCCCAUGGAUGCAGCCGUCAGAGCUCCCUUCUGCUGCCCCUGCCCCUGCUCCUGUCCCAGCCAUGCCAGGGUGGUGUGAAGGCUGCCUUUGGCUGUGGCUUCUUGCUGGUCAUCAGGGUGAUUGCACCCAAGUCAGGGUUUUGCAACACCCCAGAGCGCUGCCAGUUAUCGCAAAGGGGUGUCAUAAGAUUCUCAGCAAGCAAUCUCUAAAACAAAUACAUGCCAUUUGGCUCUUCCCCCCACCCCACCCCCCUACCCCCAGGACAUCAGAAUAGGUUGGGGAAAGAUAUCUCCCCCAAGACAUACUCAAGGGCCAUCUCUGCUUUAGUCAAGGACCAAGCCCUGUUACUUGAAGAAAAUGUGCAAAAAUGUUUAUAGUUUUGAAAAAGAGCAAGAGUCCCCAGUUGUAAGAACAUACCGGUGUGUGGCAAAUGAUUAGUCCUGUAACCAAAUAUUGUGAGAAUUAAUGUGCUAGACCCCUGUUCCCAAAUGUGCCUCCCCCAUUCCUGGGAGGCAGCAGAGCCAUGCCCAAGUACUCUGCCUCCUUCCUCGCCGCUCCUAUUGUUUUGCUGUUUCGGUCUUUGAGAUUAUUCUCUCUCUCUCUCUCUCUCUCUCUCUCUCUCUCUCUCUCUCUCUCUCUCGUAAUUUUAUUGUAAGUUUUUAACAAACAAUGUAGUCAUCUUGUUCAACCAUCACAAUAUAGAAAAUGUAGAUAACAGAAAGUGACUUCCAUCCCGAGGUUCAAUUCCUCAACAAGUAACUGCUAUCGGAUCUUAUUAAUCUUUCCAAUAACAUUUUAUUGAGAGAUAACUCAGGAUGUAAAAGCAUACUCUUUUUGCCUUUGUUUUCCACAUGACUGUAUCUCAGCCUGUGCUUUUAAGUUUUAACAUAACUAUAUGACCUUAACUUAUGACCCUUCUAGAUGAACACACAAAAGAUACCCAUUUUUAGUAUGAAUGGACAUAAAACUAGUCAUCUACAAGUGGACACCUGAUUUCCUGUCUUUAUCCAUAGAUGAUGUUGCAGUGUAUAAUUAAUACCCUAGUCCUUUCAUUCUUUUGCAGAUGUAUUUGUUUCUAUGAACAGAAUUGUUAUAAAUAAGGCAUACAUACACUUGUACGUUUAGAAGUCAUUGCUCCAUUUUUCUCCCCAGACAAUAUGUCUGUUUCCAACCUCACUAUCACUUUUGGUGGCCAGCUGGGGGUUGCAAGCCAGUGGCCUGAUGCCUCUGGGAAGCCAUCCUAAUGGCUAGGCCUCCGGGAAUUAGCAUUGCCUGUUCUGUAGAGGUCGUCCAACUCUGGAUAGACACAUACAUUGCCCAGAGAGAGCGUUGCUCAGGCCCAGUCCCCCAUGACCUUUGUUUUAUGCCCUUGGAGGCAAUCAUAGUGAGUGUGGGCCCCUAAGAUGCUGAUGGUGGACCCCCAAGUUAGAAGCCCCAAGGAUGUGUCUGGAAGAAUAGCAAUCUGUGGUGAGCAGAGGCAGCAGCCACUUGGUGGACAGAAGUUCUUAAAGUAGGAAGUUUUGUCCUGGAGAGAAGGCAGAAGCUGUGGUUCCAUGGACAUUGACACGGGGUGCUUGUAUAUGUAUUUACACGACACGGCAGUAAGAAACCCACGAAGGCUUAUGUGACUGUGGCCCGGUACCUUGUCUAAGACCACGUAUGUUAAAGGUGAGUGUGUAUAGUACAUAUAUGUGUGUUUUCUAUUUUUUGGUGCUUGGGCUUGAACCAAAGCAUACUGAAGUGACUUAUGAAUAACAGCUAGGACUCUAGUCACAAGGCUCUGGGUCUCAUCAAGUAUUUCAUAAACUGGACAGGGCAACACAGGUUCCAAGAUCCCAGCAACCAAGAGCUAAAAGUAACAGACCUGAAGCUUAGAAUAUUCUUGACAAGACACCAUGUUUGAUGCUGGUCUGGGAUACUUGAGGCUCAGUAUUUAAAAAAAUCUGGGGGUGGGGGGAGAACACUUUAAAUGGGUUUCCCUUCUCCUUUCUAAUGGUGCUGGCGAUUUAUGCAUGCUGGGCGAGGCUUCUACCGCUAGGUUAGCCCCAGCUCUUGUUUUGCCCUUUUGUUUUACACAGGUCUCACUAAGUGACCAAGGUUUGGCCUUGGAAUCACUUUGCAACCUAGGCAGGGCUUGAGUUUAUCAUCUUCCUGAGGAGAUUUCAUUAGUAGCUGAGAUUACAGGGUACCACACUCGCCUCUCAAACAGUCAUUAAAGAUCAAAUCCACUAGCAACACCUUAUAUAGUUAUAUACUGAGGUCCAGGGAAGAAAGCCAGGCACGUUCACAAGUGGCAAAAGCUAAUUCCUAACAGGUAUUAGCACACAGACAGAGGAGGCAUGGGCUCUUUUGCCAGCAUGUGUCCUCAUUCCCAGCCAAACUGUGCCAGCAAUACCUCUGUUCUGUCCUGGUUGGGACAACAAUGGGCCACGGUCUCCCUGAAGUCAGGGAAGUCAACCAAAGCUGCAAAGAAGCCCUAAUGGAAGACAUUUUGUUUCCUUUAACACAUGGCAAAGCUAACUCUACACACAUCUGCAUAAAGGUGAGAGGUUCUAAUUUCAGGGGACAUAAGAUUCAUGUCUAAGGGAUAGGUUGGGACAAGGGCUUUCAACAAGAAAUGGGUUGACAGAGCAUUCUACUAGUGCCUUAUGUUUUAUUUCUAAUUUGACUUAAAUUUGCACGCUGGGGGUGGAACCCAGGGCCUCGUGAGCAUGCUAAAGCGGGAAGCCUACUGCCCAGCUACACCUCAGCCCUGGUUCUUCCUUUUCAGGUCUUGAUCAUCCAUGGAAGAAGGGAUCAAGAAUUGGUCUUCUAGGGCGAGAGAGAGAGAGAGAGAGAGAGAGAGAGAGAGAGUUAGUUAGUUAGUUCAGAGGUUAAAGGCACUUGUUCCUCUUCCAAGGGACAUGAGUUCAGUUCCCAGCACCCACACCAGUUAACUCACAGCUACAAGUGAUUUCAUUGCCAGGGGAUCCAUCUGGCCUCCACAUAUAGACACACACACACACACACACACACACACACACAAUAGACAUACAAAUAAUAAAAUAAAAAUGAGCUGGUCCUUCAAUUCCUAAGUGGGAAGAAAAAUCCUCGCUUUCAUCUCUAAAGAAUCACUAAGCGCAGUGACUGUCAGAGACGCUCUUCCUAAGGCCAGGGGAAGGUCACAGCCAUGGCUAAAUCCCAGGCAGGAAUUUUUAGGUCUUUGUCCAAUAAGCAGCCUCUCCUCAAAGGCAAGAGGGAAGCCAGCCAGCGUGGAAAAGAGCGCACAGAGGGAUCCUGUCUCCGGCAGAGAAAUGUUUGAUCACCCUUUUAGCUAUGGCUUGGCUGGUGGGAAGUGGAGACAGCGGGGGACAGGGCAGAUCAGUCAUGCCGUUUGGGUCCCUUGUCCAGACUCUCCUUCUUCCAUAGGAGGGAAGACUCAAACAAGGCCAGAACCUCUCUGGUGAAAAAGAAGCUGGAACCACGGAAGGAAGUAGUUUGGCUAUACUGCUCUGAUUAGACUGCAUCUCCCUCCUUUUCCCAUGGAGCCUGUGUUAGGGAAAGGAGAUGAGCUGAGAUCAGAGGGGCAAAGGGCAACAUAAUGAGGAAGGUCUCUCCUCCAGGAUGGAGAAGGAAGAGAUAACAAGCCAUUGGAAUCUGUUUCAUGCGGUGGCAAUGUUAAGAUUUGGGGACAAGACGAAGCCAUUGUUCUAAGGAACCCAAAGAGGGCUGAUGACAUUCUUUGGAUGGCCAUACGUUUAGCAGAGGAGGGAGGAAGAGAUGAAGAUGAAGAGGAGGAGGAGGAGGAGGAGGAGGAGAAGAAGAAGAAGAAGAAGAAGAAGAAGAAGAAGAAGAAGAAGAAGAGAGAGAACAGUAACAGUAACUAGGAAUGGUAUAGACUUUUGAAACCUCAAAGUCCUCUCCCAAGUGACACACCUCUUUCAACAAUGCCACACCUCCUAAUCCUUCCCAAACAGUCCCAUCAAGUGAGGACCAAGUAUUUAAAUAUAUGAGCCUAUGGGAGCCAUUCUCAUACCAAUUUGGGCCUCCCUUAGCUGAGUUACAUAAUAGUGACACAUAAAAUUAGUCAUCACAAUAAGCAGUCUUUUAUAGCUUUUGUGUGUUGAAGCUUAGAGGGGCUACUGACCAGUCAUAAACCUAAUGGUGUACACUGACCUCCCAGUCUUGGCUUUCAGUUAGGUUCCUUCCUACUAUACUGAGCUUUGGGACCGGAAAAGUAGACUUCAUCUCGGAACACCUGUAUCCACUGAAAUGUUUUUAAAAUCACUAGUAUCCUUCCUUGAAAGAAUGGACAUAGGGGAUGAUCUUCAAGGGGACAAGGACUUGAAUAGGUACCUAUCCAAAGAUGUAUAAAUGACCAGCACCAGUGUGAAGACAUGCUAAGUACCAUGAGUUAUCAGGGAAAGGGAAAUCAAACACAGACUGAGGCCUGACUUUAUGCUUAGUGGGAUGACUAAAAUUAAACAUGGAGAAAACAAGUAUUAAAAAAGGCCAUCGAGGGAAGGGGACCCUCAUGCAAUUGCUGCAGGGCUGUAACUGUAGAAAAUGUUUUGUUUCACAGGAAGUUAAAGACUAACCUCACAAUACCAUGAGAAGUGGAAAAAGGGACCCAAACAGAAACCUAUACACCAUGUUGAUUGCAGUCAACAAAAUAGCACAACACUUGGAGGAUGUCUACAAAGGGGUUUUCAGCUCUGAAAUGAAUGGAUCCUGAAAACAUUAAGUUAGGCAAAAUAAGUCAGACAUGAAUAGACAAAUACUGCCUGAGUACACUGACAUGAAGUAUUUAGAAUAGGCAAACUCACAGAGACAGAAAGUAGGUAAGAGUUAACCAGGGGCUGAAGGGAGGGAGAGGGGGAAAGUAUUGCCUAACCCUAAUGGGAGCAGAAUUUCUAUUUGGGGUCAUGAAAAACAUUUAAAAAUAAAUAGUAACAAUGAUUACACAAUAUUGUGUUUGUAAUUAAUGCCCCUGAGUUGUACAU